GGCUGCGUAGUUCAACUGGAUAGAAUAUCAGAUUUCGGCUCUGAUGGUUGCAGGUUCGAACCCUGCCGCGGUCACAA
rnacentral:tRNA from 1 species